rnacentral:rRNA from 1 species
CGGAUUCUGGGCGUAAGCGCACGCAGGCGGUCUGUCAAGUCGGAUGUGAAAUCCCCGGGCUCAACCUGGGAACUGCAUUCGAAACUGGCAGGCUAGAGUCUUGUAGAGGGGGGUAGAAUUCCAGGUGUAGCGGUGAAAUGCGUAGAGAUCUGGAGGAAUACCGGUGGCGAAGGCGGCCCCCUGGACAAAGACUGACGCUCAGGUGCGAAAGCGUGGGGAGCAAACAGGAUUAGAUACCCUGGUAGUCCACGCCGUAAACGAUGUCGACUUGGAGGUUGUGCCCUUGAGGCGUGGCUUCCGGAGCUAACGCGUUAAGUCGACCGCCUGGGGAGUACGGCCGCAAGGUUAAAACUCAAAUGAAUUGACGGGGGCCCGCACAAGCGGUGGAGCAUGUGGUUUAAUUCGAUGCAACGCGAAGAACCUUACCUACUCUUGACAUCCAGAGAACUUUCCAGAGAUGGAUUGGUGCCUUCGGGAACUCUGAGACAGGUGCUGCAUGGCUGUCGUCAGCUCGUGUUGUGAAAUGUUGGGUUAAGUCCCGCAACGAGCGCAACCCUUAUCCUUUGUUGCCAGCGGUUAGGCCGGGAACUCAAAGGAGACUGCCAGUGAUAAACUGGAGG